UACGAAGGGGGCUAGCGUUGUUCGGAAUUACUGGGCGUAAAGCGCGUGUAGGCGGUUGUCCAAGUCGGGUGUGAAAGCCUUGAGCUCAACUCAAGAAAUGCACUCGAUACUGGGCGACUAGAGUGCCGGAGAGGAUAGUGGAAUUCCCAGUGUAGUGGUGAAAUACGUAGAGAUUGGGAAGAACACCAGUGGCGAAGGCGGCUAUCUGGACGGUUACUGACGCUAAGACGCGAAAGCGUGGGGAGCAAACAGG
rnacentral:rRNA from 1 species